rnacentral:rRNA from 1 species
GAUAAACGCUGGCGGCGUGCAUGAGACAUGCAAGUCGAACGGACACUUGGGGCUUGCCCCAAGUGUUAGUGGCGGACGGCUGAGUAACGCGUAGGUGACCUGCCCCGAAGUGGGGAAUAACUGCCCGAAAGGGUGGCUAAUACCGCAUGUGGUGGUGUGUUCAUUCACACCAGUAAAGCCGCAAGGCGCUUCGGGAGGGGCCUGCGUCCGAUUAGCUCGUUGGUGGGGUAACGGCUCACCAAGGCGACGAUCGGUAGGUGGUCUGAGAGGACGAUCACCCAGACUGCGACUGAGACACGGCCCAGACUCCUACGGGAGGCAGCAGUCGGGAAUUUUGCGCAAUGGACGAAAGUCUGACGCAGCAACGCCGCGUGAGGGAUGAAGGCCUUCGGGUUGUAAACCUCUUUUAUCAGGGAAGAUAAUGACGGUACCUGAUGAAUAAGUCACGGCUAACUACGUGCCAGCAGCCGCGGUAAUACGUAGGUGACAAGCGUUGUCCGGAUUUACUGGGCGUAAAGAGCGCGCAGGCGGUCGAUCAAGUCGAGUGUGAAAGCCCCCGGCUCAACUGGGGAGGGUCAUUCGAUACUGAUCGACUCGAAGGCAGGAGAGGGUAGUGGAAUUCCCAGUGUAGUGGUGAAAUGCGUAGAUAUUCGGAAGAACACCAGUGGCGAAGACGGCUCACUGGACGACUGUUGACGCUGAGGUACGAAAGCGUGGGGAGCAAACAGGAUUAGAUACCCUGGUAGUCCACGCCGUAAACGAUGAUAACUAGCUGUCCGGGCACUUGGUGCUUGGGUGGCGCAGCUAACGCAUUAAGUUAUCCGCCUGGGGAGUACGGCCGCAAGGUUAAA